rnacentral:rRNA from 1 species
AACGAACGCUGGCGGCAGGCUUAACACAUGCAAGUCGAGCGCCCCGCAAGGGGAGCGGCAGACGGGUGAGUAACGCGUGGGAAUCUACCCAUCUCUACGGAAUAACGCAUGGAAACGUGUGCUAAUACCGUAUACGUCCUUCGGGAGAAAGAUUUAUCGGAGAGGGAUGAGCCCGCGUUGGAUUAGCUAGUUGGUGGGGUAAAGGCCUACCAAGGCGACGAUCCAUAGCUGGUCUGAGAGGAUGAGCAGCCACACUGGGACUGAGACACGGCCCAGACUCCUACAGGAGGCAGCAGUGGGGAAUAUUGGACAAUGGGCGCAAGCCUGAUCCAGUCAUGCCGCGUGAGUGAUGAAGGCCCUAGGGUUGUAAAGCUCUUUCACCGGUGAAGAUAAUGACGGUAACCGGAGAAGAAGCCCCGGCUAACUUCGUGCCAGCCGCCGCCGUAAGAC